ACUUAAAUUGAAGAGUUUGAUCAUGGCUCAGAUUGAACGCUGGCGGCAGGACUAGCACACGCAAGUGGAGCGGUAGCACCGAGAGCUACAUGUCGGGG
rnacentral:rRNA from 1 species